AGAAGGUGUGUAGCCAGGUUCCACCCCUUCCCAGACCUCAUUUAAGGGUUGGCAGUGGAAAUAAGAGCAAUUUGUUGGAGAUCCCUGUAUACCUGAGGCCUUCUGAAGGUGUCUCUAAGGCCUGUAGAGAUUUGACAGGAUUCCCAUGAAUGAGAACUUUUGCCCACAGUUCUGUCUCAGAAACUCUGCCUUGCAAAUAAUAGAGCUGGAGGCUUGUGGUCGAAUGACCUCAGCAUCAUUGCGAAAGUUGUUCGCUUGCAUUAUUCUCACAACACGUGAUUCCAUAAGAAACACCGUGCUAUGUCUAGCUACUUUUCAUUAACUCUUUCCUGGGAGGCAAAGCACUGAAAGAAACACACAUAUUUCAUCCUCUGUCUGUGGGUUGUUCCAGGCUUUUGCCCACAUCUCACAUCCUCCAGAGAAGGGUUUCUCAGCCCCAAUUGAGCUACAGGCUUAGAAAGCUCAGAGCGCAGCUGUGCCUUUGGUCAGAGUUGUGCAGGAAAGUAUGCUGCUUUUUCAGUUGCGUUAAAGUAAUUGUUCCUCCACUCUUCCAGGAUGGUGCUGUCCACAAGUAGAACCCAGCACAAACUUCAUGGCAUACUUUUGCCACUCUGUCUCUCCUAACAGUGUAUGAUCUUCUGAGUUCUAUAUCUGUUAGAGCUGUGCAAAGGGAGCAACAAUGUUAAAGAUGCAACAAGUUUUUCUAAAACAAAUUCAUAGGAAAGAAAGAUCUUUUCUUUAAACGUCUCCAUUGAGCUCAUGUGUGCUUCCAUCCCAGAAGCUGAGACAGAGGAGAAGUGGUCCUCUCCUCUCAGCUCUCUCUGUUGCUGGGAGGAAGCAGCCCAGCUCAAGUUUGCUACCAUUGCAGCUCUGGACAACAGAGUGAAUAGCUUGUAAAAUUGCAUUCCUGCAUGUUUGUAAAGCACUUAGCACAGCAAAGGUCUGGCUGUAUAACUGAAGAGCUGAUAUAAAUAUUGCUAGUAAAGAAGAGAUUUCUACUGGAGCUCUGUGUGAAUGAUGAAAUUGACCAUUGCCAUUUCAAAGCAUGUGGAGAACGGGAUGAGAAGUUCUUAGUGAGCUCCAUGCUGCGCUGAGAAAAGCUUGCUUGAAAUUUAAACAAGGAUGAUGGAAGCAAUCCUUUAAGUGCUUGUUCCAGGUUUGAUGCAAAACCUCCUUUCAAUGCAGAAAUUCCCACAGUAAAUCUAUUGGGGUCACCACCCCAGUGAGCCUGACCACAGGACAAGGCAGGCACCCCUGUGCCACCUGCCUGGGGAACAGCACAAUGAAGCUCCCUGAUGCUGUGCAGGGGGGUCUGCACUGCAAUAUAGAUGUAGCCAAAGGGAUGGCAGCUCCUGACUGGGGAGUCCCAGCAGGAAGAAAGCAGAGCCAGUGAGGAAUGGGGAUGCACGGCAACCAACAUCCAUGUGUGGCUCUGAGUAUCUAUGCCAAAUUGGAGGUCAUUAUAUUUCACAGAGUCCUCACCUGUACGUGAUACAGCUCAUUGCUCACCUUCUGGAUGAGGUCCAGGUGUUGCAGAGGACCAGGCUGUGCCCUGCUGGGAGGUGGGUGCUGAGCAGUAGGGGCUCUUGGGAGUACAGAAGCUCUGUGAGCUGCAGGUGCAGCUGUGCUCUGCUCCCAGGCUGGGCACUUGCUGGCUGCCAAACUGCGUGCAGUGAUUAUGCAGUGUGGACAUCUUGUCAGCUGCUGAGAUGGGCCUGCCUGACUCAUUUCCACUUGGAAUCUUGAUGACAGUUUGGUUUGAAUUAGACGUGGGCUAAAGCCAGAACCCUGGAUCUGAACUUCCUCGGAUUUUGGGAAGACUCCAUUCUGGAUCUGAGCUUAGCACAUGGCUCUUGCUUACACAAUGAUCGGAGCCAAACUCUGUAUCAGGGCAUUCCCAGAAUUUAGGGAAGCUCAGAGCUCAUCUUUGAUGCUGAGGUCAUCUCAAGCACAGGUUUCUGGAGAUGAAAUACUACCUAUAGCCUAGCUUGCUCUUCCUUUUCUUGUAAAACUGACAUUGAACAAGUGCAUUCUUUACUCUGCAAUUGCACCUUCUCAGUUCUGGCAAGUAGAAAAGAUCUGUGCGAGUCUGUAUACGUUUCAAUUGGAAAAGCAGCCUCUCAGGAACUUCCAUAUUGCAUGCACAAGAAGCUUUUUGGCUUUUGAGCACAAUUGUAGUGUCAUUCCAGAAGCUCUGGACACACAUUCCUUGCUGCAGACACUGGUGCCUGUCAGCACAGGAGUCGUGGCUGUGGCACCAACACUUACCCCUGCAUGGCUCUUUCUGUGAAAAGGAAAGACUGAAGAGUAACAAAAUUCCAUUUGCAAGCUGCUCCAGUGACACAGUGCUAACCACCAUCCCCAAAAGGUGAGAUCUUGUGAUGUGCUACUGCAGUGUGCCUGCAGGGACCUACUUCUGAAGCCCUCUGCUUCUCAAGCAUGGGCAGGCAAGCUGGAGAAAUCCCAGAGAAGCAUCCCUGUCCGGGAAAAGCUGAGCUGCCUGCUGCUGUGCUGAGAAAACCCAGCUCCAACAGAAGGCUUUGUCAACACAGCGCCGUAUCAUUCGCUCGAGGUGUACACACUUCACUUGACACCUCUGCCUUGUCCUACAGAUGUUCCACUGUGUUUCGGAUGGAGCCUCUAACAGUACAGCUGUUUGAACACAUGUGCAUUUUCCACUCAACAAACCACAAGAAUAUGGCAGCAGGGUUACAACGUCUGACUCCUAGGGCGAGAAUGAGAGAAGCUGAAGAGGUGUUUCUUUGGGAAAUCUCUGUAUUUUCUCCUGUAGUUUCUCUCUUUCUCGUUUUAUUCACCGACUGUGCUACGCUCAGACCAUGGGGAAGGUGAAGCCUGAUUGAUAUUGCAAGUGACAACUGUGGCCUCGAAACCAUUUCCUCAGUUCAUCUUCAGGAGGCGUUAAGCCCACAGCGUUUUGCCUGUUCCACAGGAGCAGAGUCCUUCUGACUUUUAUUCACAAAAAUCCACUUUAUUCCAAUUCCUGCUAAUCUGCUGUUGCUUGUGAAUAAAUUAGAGCCUGCCCCGAUAAAGAGGCUUAAAGAGGAAUGAUCAGAUGUGCUCAGAAGAAAAGGAGUUUACAACAGACUUCCUGCUUUUGCCAUUGUAGGAUAUGAGAAGAGGCGGUGGGCUCUCACCAUGAAUUUCACAACUGAAAGCACUUUCUGCUCCCAGUAAGGUACUGAAGCUGGGGAGAUUGGAAAUAAUGCAUUAAUAGAAUAGUGAGCCCCACUAUGGAUAUCCUGUGGAAUCCACAGCCGCUUCUACCGCUCUUCUCUCACGGGCAUCCAUCUAAUCCAGGCACCUGGAAUUAUUUGCCUCCCAGUUAACACCAGUUGGGAUAUGACGUGUUGCCUAUCCUUUCCAUCCUAUCAACAUCUGGUUUGUGAAAAACAGAUGUGCACAAAUCGAUCGGAUUAAUGUGUUUGAUUCUGCAAUUGACUGCAGGAGAAAUCAGCAAAGCACUGAUGUCGAAUCAGUGUCAAAUUUUGGCUUCCAGCCCUUUGGUGUCCAACUGGAAUUGUUGUGCUUUGUGAAACUUCUUUAGAUACAAGAGGGCCAGAGUGCAACUCCCCAUGCUGGGAACAUUUCAGAUGAUUCAAUGUGGAGUUACCACUAUUGAAAUCCAUCCUUUUGAGGCUCUAAAUUCAGAUAACUUCCAAAGAAGAAAAAAUGCAGUAUCUUUAAAAAAAAAGUCUGGAGGGCAUCUCAUCUAUUAAGAAGAGAAAACAAACUCCUUCACAUAGAGUUGCUCGUGCUUCAAAGAUGAUAAUUGCAGUUAUCAGAGCAAAAUAUAGGCUGAUGCCAAGGAGGUAUAGCUUUGUUAAAGAGAAGAGGUACACAGCUGGGCCCUGAGUUUCACAUUUCUGUGCCCAGGGAGGUGGUGGAGUCACCAUCCCUGAAGGUGUUAAAGAAAAGGUGAGAUGUGGCACUGAGGGACGUAGUGAGUGGGCAUGGUGGGGGUGGUUCCAGGUUUGGACUUGGCGAUCAUAGUGGUGAUAUUUUUAUAAGAAGGGAUGAUUAAGGUGAGAAGGACUCUUUCAUUUUCCUUAAUCAUUCUGCUGCAGAUACCCUUCAUCUCAUCUAAGUUUGGGCCCUACCAGCAAAUUUCAAACCCACACUUAAGCAUGCAUUUCCCCCAAAUGUGAGGGUGUUUUGAGCAGGAAUCCAUCACUCUGUUUCUUUUCUUUUUUCUUUUCCAGCUGAAACCUAAUAAAUGGAACUCUAUAAAGACUGAGUUCAGACAACAUCUGGAGGCAGAUUAAAAUCCUCCAAGCUACUGUUCCACAGUCUUAGGGAUCAUUAGUACUGCAAAACAUCUAUACAGAAUAUUUAUCUAACGCAUGUGAUAAAAUGAAAGCUAUUGCCUCAGAUUCAGAACAACCACUGAUGAAAAGAAAUACCUCACAUCACCAUUAAGUUAGAGCUUCUCAAGCUGAAAUCUCUUUGCUAACCAAAGCACAGCAACUUGACGUUACAAAAAGCUUAAUGCUAAAUAUUGGG
ensembl:lncRNA